rnacentral:rRNA from 1 species
UGGGGAAUAUUGCACAAUGGGCGCAAGCCUGAUGCAGCCAUGCCGCGUGUGUGAAGAAGGCCUUCGGGUUGUAAAGCACUUUCAGCGGGGAGGAAGGCGAUAAGGUUAAUAACCUUGUCGAUUGACGUUACCCGCAGAAGAAGCACCGGCUAACUCCGUGCCAGCAGCCGCGGUAAUACGGAGGGUGCAAGCGUUAAUCGGAAUUACUGGGCGUAAAGCGCACGUAGGCGGUCUGUCAAGUCGGAUGUGAAAUCCCCGGGCUCAACCUGGGAACUGCAUUCGAAACUGGCAGGCUAGAGUCUUGUAGAGGGAGGUAGAAUUCCAGGUGUAGCGGUGAAAUGAGUAGAGAUCUGGAGGAAUACCGGUGGCGAAGGCGGCCCCCUGGACAAAGACUGACGCUCAGGUGCGAAAGCGUGGGGAGCAAACAGG